AUGGAUAUAGUGCAAUCUAUGAUGUUUCUUACCGGUUUACCACUAUCGUUUUGGGGUUAUGCAUUAAAGACAGCUGCAUUCACGUUAAAAAAAGGGGCACCAUCUAAGUCCAUUGAGACAACACAAUCUGAACUGUGGUUUGGCAAGAAACCAAAGUUGUCAUUUCUUAAAGUUUGGGGUUGCAAUGCUUAUAUGAAAAAGUUUCAUCCUGAUAAGCUCAAACCCAAAUCGGAGAAAUGUGUCUUCAUAGGAUACCCAAAGGAGAUAGUUGGGUACACCUUCUAUCACAGAUCCGAAGGCAAGACAUUCGUUGCUAAGAAUGGAUCCUUUCUAGAGAAGGAGUUUCUCUCGAAAGAAAUGAGUGGGAGGAAAGUAGAACUUGAAUAG
rnacentral:rRNA from 1 species